rnacentral:rRNA from 1 species
CUACGGGGUGCACCAGGCGAGAAAACUUUGCAAUGUGCGAAAGCACGACAAGGUUAAUCCGAGUGGUUUCUGCUAAAGGAACCUUUUGUCGGUCCUAGAAACACCGAUGAAUAAGGGGUGGGCAAGUUCUGGUGUCAGCCGCCGCGGUAAAACCAGCACCUCAAGUGGUCAGGAUGAUUAUUGGGCCUAAAGCAUCCGUAGCCGGCUCUGUAAGUUUUCGGUUAAAUCUGUACGCCCAACGUACAGGCUGCCGGGAAUACUGCAGAGCUAGGGAGUGGGAGAGGUAGACGGUACUCGGUAGGAAGGGGUAACAUCCUUUGAUCUAUUGAUGACCACCUGUGGCGAAGGCGGUCUACCAGAACACGUCCGACGGUGAGGGAUGAAAGCUGGGGGAGCAAACCGGAUUAGAUACCCGCGUAGUC